UGGGGAAUAUUGCACAAUGGGGGAAACCCUGAUGCAGCGACGCCGCGUGAACGAAGAAGGUAUUCGUAUCGUAAAGUUCUGUCCUAUGGGAAGAUAAUGACAGUACCAUAGAAGAAAGCUCCGGCUAAAUACGUGCCAGCAGCCGCGGUAAUACGUAUGGAGCGAGCGUUGUCCGGAAUUAUUGGGCGUAAAGGGUACGCAGGCGGUUUAAUAAGUCGAAUGUUAAAGAUCGGGGCUCAACCCCGUAAAGCAUUGGAAACUGAUAAACUUGAGUAGUGGAGAGGAAAGUGGAAUUCCUAGUGUAGUGGUGAAAUACGUAGAUAUUAGGAGGAAUACCAGUAGCGAAGGCGACUUGCUGGACACCAACUGACGCUGAGGUACGAAAGCGUGGGGAGCAAACAGG
rnacentral:rRNA from 1 species